AAAGGAUCUCAGUGACACUCAGAGGUAGAGCACAUGUUCUAGUGAGCAAGGGUGGAGGGAGGCCAUGUUCGGUUUGGUUCACAUUCAACAGCACGCUCUGCCUCUGAAGAGUCGAGUGCCUGGCUACUUCAGGUCCAGGGAUUAGAACUAUGUCCCCAUCUCCUCUCUGAGUCCAGCUCAUGCCAUGGCUGGGAUCUCUGACAACAGCAACACAGGAGAAAGAGUCCAGGCCGGUGUGUUCAAUUUUCUUCUUGAUGAGUGUAC
rnacentral:lncRNA from 1 species